AUUGAACGCUGGCGGCGUGCCUAAUACAUGCAAGUCGAACGCAGUGGGGACGGGUGAGUAACACGUGGGUAACCUCCCAUCAGAGGGGAUAACACUUGGAAACAGGUGCUAAACCGAUACUGAUGGAUGGACACGCGGUGCAUUAGCUAGUUGGUGAGGUAACGGGUCACCAAGGCCACGAUGCAUAGCCGACCUGUGAGUGUGACGGUCCACACUUGGACUGAGACACGGCCCAGACUCCUACGGGAGGCAGCAGUAGGGAAUCUUCGGCAUUGGACGAAAGUCUGACCGAGCAACGCCGCGUGAGGGAAGAAGGUUUUCGGAUCGUAAAACUCUGUUGUUAGAGAAGCGGUAUCUAACCAGAAAGCCACGGCUAACUACGUGCCAGCCGCCGCGGUAAUUC
rnacentral:rRNA from 1 species